UAUUCCGUUCGGUGCUCGGUGUGGUUU
rnacentral:sRNA from 1 species